rnacentral:rRNA from 1 species
UGCAGUCGAGCGGUAGCACAGAGAGCUUGCUCUCGGGUGACGAGCGGCGGACGGGUGAGUAAUGUCUGGGAAACUGCCUGAUGGAGGGGGAUAACUACUGGAAACGGUAGCUAAUACCGCAUAACGUCGCAAGACCAAAGUGGGGGACCUUCGGGCCUCAUGCCAUCAGAUGUGCCCAGAUGGGAUUAGCUUGUUGGUGAGGUAACGGCUCACCAAGGCGACGAUCCCUAGCUGGUCUGAGAGGAUGACCAGCCACACUGGAACUGAGACACGGUCCAGACUCCUACGGGAGGCAGCAGUGGGGAAUAUUGCACAAUGGGCGCAAGCCUGAUGCAGCCAUGCCGCGUGUAUGAAGAAGGCCUUCGGGUUGUAAAGUACUUUCAGCGAGGAGGAAGGCAUUAAGGUUAAUAACCUUAGUGAUUGACGUUACUCGCAGAAGAAGCACCGGCUAACUCCGUGCCAGCAGCCGCGGUAAUACGGAGGGUGCAAGCGUUAAUCGGAAUUACUGGGCGUAAAGCGCACGCAGGCGGUCUGUCAAGUCGGAUGUGAAAUCCCCGGGCUCAACCUGGGAACUGCAUUCGAAACUGGCAGGCUAGAGUCUUGUAGAGGGGGGUAGAAUUCCAGGUGUAGCGGUGAAAUGCGUAGAGAUCUGGAGGAAUACCGGUGGCGAAGGCGGCCCCCUGGACAAAGACUGACGCUCAGGUGCGAAAGCGUGGGGAGCAAACAGGAUUAGAUACCCUGGUAGUCCACGCUGUAAACGAUGUCGACUUGGAGGUUGUUCCCUUGAGGAGUGGCUUCCGGAGCUAACGCGUUAAGUCGACCGCCUGGGGGAGUACGGCCGCAAGGUUAAAACUCAAAUGAAUUGACGGGGGCCCGCACAAGCGGUGGAGCAUGUGGGUUUAAUUCGAUGCAACGCGAAGAACCUUACCUACUCUUGACAUCCAGAGAACUUAGCAAAAAUGCUUUGGUUGCUUCCGGGAACUCUGAAAACAGGUGCUUGCAUGGCUUGUCGUCAGCUCCGGGUUGUGAAAAUGUUGGGGUUAA